GGAAAUGGAAGUAAAGAAGGAAGAAAAAAGGGAAAAAAGGAAAUAGAGACAGCAGCCCAUGGUACCAAUGCUACUUCAAAGACAGCUGAGUGAGUUGGGUACAAGAGAAAAGAAAGAGAAGAGAGGCAAACAUUUGUUUAAACAGAAGUCUCCAGGUAUAACGAUUUUUUGUGCCAAUGAAUCCAGGCUUCCAACGCCAAGAGAGUGGGACUCUCUCUGUGCAUCGACUUUUCCACUUAAAUCUCCUUCACGCACAAGUGUUUUUGAACACUCAUCUACAUCAUAGAUGAAAGUGUACAAAGACAAUCAUCAUCCUCGGUUACCAAGAGACUACUACUAAUUUCCUUCUUCAUCUCUUUUGAUUAAACGAAUUUUUACUUUUGCUUUGUCUAAGAUCAUGAUUGCUACUCCUGCCUGGGUUACUCUCUCUUUUUGCCCCAGUGAGAUAUGUUCCUCCUUCUUUCCUUUGUUUCCAGGUGAUUUGUUUUCUUUGUA
rnacentral:lncRNA from 1 species